rnacentral:sRNA from 1 species
CUCCCACUGCUAGAGUGAUAUUUUUUUAAGAUAACAGAAAAGAAGUAAACAAAAAUAGCAGAAUAUCGAGAACUGAAGAAAUCUAUGGCUUCCGCAAUGUCCUUCCAGGAUCCAUCCCCUCUUCUGAGUUAUACAUAGUUUCUGCGAGAAUCGGGAAGCUGCAAUCUUGCAGCUUCAAAGAAAGUCCUUUGUUGGUGAGUGGAGAAUCCAAGGCGAGCAGAAACAUAUACAAACCCAGCAAUACAGAAAUUGCAAGACAAAGAUACAUCUCUUCUGUGAAACUGGCUUGAGCCAUUGGUCAACACUUAGAGAGAGACAGAGAGUCGAUGUGAAGGAAUAUGGGUGCUUGAGGUUAUAUAUAUAUA